AGUGAACGCUGGCGGCAGGCCUAACACAUGCAAGUCGAGCGGGUAAAUUGGGCUUUCUGCUGGGGUCGGGUGCGGACGGGGGAGGAAUGCCUAGGAAUGUUCCGGAUAAUUGGGGGUAACGUCAGGUAACAGGGGCUAAUACCUCAUACGGCCUGAGUUGCUAAGGGAGGGAUGGUCGGACCUCGCGCUAUCAGAUGGGGCGAGGUCGGAUUAGCUAGGUGGUGGUGUAAAGGCCUACCGAGGGGACGAUCCGUAACUGGUCGGAGAGGAUCAGCAGUCAGCUUGUCACUGAGAAACGGUACAGACUCCUACGCGAGGCAGCAGUGGGGAAUACUGGACAAAGGGCCAAAGCGUGAUACAGCAAUGCCGCGUGUGUGAAGAAGCUCCUCGGCUUGUAAAGCAAUUUAAGUUGGGAGGAAGUGAAGUACGUUAAUCCCUUGCUGUUAUGACGUUACCAAAAGAAUAAGCCCCGGCUAACUUCGUG
rnacentral:rRNA from 1 species